ensembl:lncRNA
CAGUUUACUAUCAUUACCAUUAUUGUUAUUUCUUUUAUAUGUAAGUGUUUUGCCUACUGUAAGUGCUGUGAACCACAUACCUGCAAUUGCCACAGAGGCCAGUCGGGGGCAGUGGAGUCUACCUGAAACCGAGUUACCCUUUUGGUUCAAUGUUAAACAAAUGCCCCUGCACUUGACUUUUAUCCUUCCUUUUGUACUGUAUUAGUUGAAGUGGAUCACACUCAACCAAAGAGAGAAGUUUCUUGAGACCUGUGGAAUACAUACAUGGGCUAGGCAUGCUUAUUGUCUAAACUGCCAGGCGUCCAUGUAGGGCAUUAGUGGACACAGCAUCAUAUCUCAGCAUCUCUUACUGUGAGGGUUGGAGCAGAACUCCCAUAUCUCAUCCUGGGUGACGAUGUAGAUUAGACCCAUCAGAUGAAAUGAAGAACUGAAAAACUCUCCUGGGGAUGAAGGGGUAAGGCAAUCAUGUUGCCGUACCAUAAAUGCACUGCUAUGAGCAAGCUUCAGACAGCCUGGGGGAUGCAGCCUGCCGCAGAGACCACAGGCCUUUGGUGGAGAAUGAUUCAGUUCAAAACUGGGAAGGGAGAAGGAUGGUUGAUAUUGUUCCAGUAGAUCUCACUGCCUCUAAAAAGAGUUUCUUCCAGGUCAGUGAAUGAUUCUUGUAAAGCAGCUCCUGGAAUGGACUUCUGAGACCAAACAUGAGCCCCCAAAUUAAUGUAUGGAAGAAGUAAUCCUGUGGGUCUCCAGACUGCUGCUUUCAAACCACCAGUCAAAAGUAUCCACUCUACGAAUGAUACAUAGAUAUAUACACAGAAUACCAGGAUGGAUACAGAGUUUCUUUGGUUCCAUGAAUGAGGUAUUCAGCAGGUGAAUCCACUCAGCAAAUAAAGGCCCUAAAGACCAUCAUGGAAAAUGGAGCAGAAAGACUGUAGGAGCCAGAGGUCAGGGAGAACAGAGGAACACAGUGUCUCCUGCCCUCAUGGCAUACAGCAACUGUGAUCACCUGCACAGUAUCAGGAAGCUGGGAAUUCAUCUACCUCAAGAUCCCUCUCCUGUGCGUAUGUGCAAAGAAUGUUUCAUCCUACUAUGGAGGCACUUGCUCGACCAUGUUCAUUGAUGCUCUAUUCAUAAUAGUCAGAGAUUGGAAAGAUCCAAUAUCUGUCUCUCAACAGGUGAAUGGAUUUAAAAAUGUGGUACAUUUAUAUAAUGGACUGUUAGCAGCUUAAGAAGGAAAAAGAAAUCAUGAAAUUCACAGGUCAAUGUAUGGAUCUAGAAAAAGUCAUCCUGAAUAAUGUAACUCAGAACCAGAAUUAAAAAGAUGCUAUAUAUUCAUUUACAUGUGGAUGUUAGCUGUUACUUCUGCAAUCUCUAUAACCACAGGUUAUGAAUAGGGUAAGGGAAGAGAGAAGAGGGACAGAUCUCCAUUAAAUGGGAAAUAGAAUAUAUAGUUAAUGGUGGCUGAGAGACAGGGUCUGGAACAGGAAGGUCAAAUGAGGAGAGGAGGAGAAGACAUGACAAGGGAAGAAAUACAGGGGCUGACGGCUAAAAUGAAGAGGCGUGUGAGGGGUUGUAUGGAAUAGAAUAGAUGCACUGUAACAUAUAUACAUAUGUGAAUGAGAUCUAAAGGAAAUUCACACACACACACA